GGAUCCAGACUUUGAUCCUGGCUCAGGAUGAACGCUGGCGGCGUGCUUAACACAUGCAAGUCGAACGAAGCACUUUAUUUGAUUUCCUUCGGGACUGAUUAUUUUGUGACUGAGUGGCGGACGGGUGAGUAACGCGUGGGUAACCUGCCUUGUACAGGGGGAUAACAGUUGGAAACGGCUGCUAAUACCGCAUAAGCGCACGGCAUCGCAUGAUGCAGUGUGAAAAACUCCGGUGGUAUAAGAUGGACCCGCGUUGGAUUAGCUAGUUGGUGAGGUAACGGCCCACCAAGGCGACGAUCCAUAGCCGACCUGAGAGGGUGACCGGCCACAUUGGGACUGAGACACGGCCCAAACUCCUACGGGAGGCAGCAGUGGGGAAUAUUGCACAAUGGGCGAAAGCCUGAUGCAGCGACGCCGCGUGAGCGAAGAAGUAUUUCGGUAUGUAAAGCUCUAUCAGCAGGGAAGAUAAUGACGGUACCUGACUAAGAAGCACCGGCUAAAUACGUGCCAGCAGCCGCGGUAAUACGUAUGGUGCAAGCGUUAUCCGGAUUUACUGGGUGUAAAGGGAGCGCAGGCGGUGCGGCAAGUCUGAUGUGA
rnacentral:rRNA from 1 species